AGUAAAUAGAUACCCGGGUAGUCCACGCCGUAAACGAUGUCGACUUGGAGGUUGUGCCCUUGAGGCGUGGCUUCCGGAGCUAAACGCGUUAAAGUCGACCGCCUGGGGAGUACGGCCGCAAGGUUAAAACUCAAAUGAAUUGACGGGGCCCGCACAAGCGGUGGAGCAUGUGGUUUAAUUCGAUGCAACGCGAAGAACCUUACCUACUCUUGACAUCCAGAGAACUUAGCAGAGAUGCUUUGGUGCCUUCGGGAACUCUGAGACAGGUGCUGCAUGGCUGUCGUCAGCUCGUGUUGUGAAAUGUUGGGUUAAGUCCCGCAACGAGCGCAACCCUUAUCCUUUGUUGCCAGCGGUUAGGCCGGGAACUCAAAGGAGACUGCCAGUGAUAAACUGGAGGAAGGUGGGGAUGACGUCAAGUCAUCAUGGCCCUUACGAGUAGGGCUACACACAUACUACAAUGGCAUAUACAAAGGGCAGCGACACAGCGAUGUGAAGCCAAUCCCAUAAAGUAUGUCUCAGUCCGGAUUGGA
rnacentral:rRNA from 1 species